GCAAGGGGGUGGGGUUCCAUCACAGCCAAGAUGGCCGUCUGAGUAGUGGCGCCUGAACUGAAGUAGGAUUCUGGUUCCGGAUUUCCACGUUCACUGCUGCCUGUCAGGCGGUAAGCGGUUCGGAUCUAACUGAGAGUAAGAGGUUCUUGGAUCCUGGUGUGGAUCCGAGCUCACAGGGCCCGCGGGUCCUCGGGCGGCUCCUCAUAACCUGGUGUUGGCUAGCUCUGGUAGUACUGCCAGCUCCUGGACCGGACAUUCCUGAGAACCCAAUUGGGUUGCAUGAGUUCGACCACUUCAUGCUGAACAAGAAACUCAACAAUGGUUCGAUGAGCCUGAACGUACUCUAAUGAUUUGAUACCCGCUGUUCCGUGUAGUGAAGGCGCUAGGUGUGCUAAUAAUGCUAGCGGCUGAUUCGGGGGACACCGAGCUGACCAACCCAGCUGGAGCUUCGUGGUCUUCGGGCAUGUUCUGACUUCGGUUCGGUCACUUUUGCCUUUUAACUUUCUUCACCCCUGAAGUGUCCUUUCUGUCCUGGUGAGCUGUCUUAAGGGGGGUCAGGACCACCAGCUCAGGCCAUCCAGCUCAGGUGGCCUUCAGGAACAUGGACAACAACACAUAAAGAGAUCCCUGUACCUCCAAAGAAAGAAAGUGGCUCUACAUCAGGCCACCCAAUUUUUCCAUUUUGACCGACUUUCUUUGCCCAAACAGAACCAAAACUGCAGUGGGUAAUGGGUGCUGCCGGCCAUGGUGACCUGAUGUAAAUGGCUGUCCAUUGGCACAGCUUAAAGACCGUAUCUACUGCUUGUUCCUUGUUCCCCCGCUCUUCUCUUUUAUCAAAGUUUUCCCUCAUCCUUACGUUCCUGGUCUUUGAAUUUUUGCUGCUCUCUGAAGUGUCCUGCCCACCCCCUACACCCCCUGUCCCAUCAUGGUUGGUGCAGGACUGGCUUUUUGCAAGCUAACACGAGGCAUUCGUCAUCUGGAGCUGCACCGCCUCAUCCUGGCACUUAUAAUCUUUUGCUUCCUUUCCAUGGCUUUUCUUGCCUAUUAUGUCUCUAACAAUCCUAAAAUCAAAGAACCCCCACCCCUGCCCUUCAGUGAUUGUAGUGAAGGUGGUGGGAUGGCACCCAGAGUGAGCACUGGAUCUGUUGGGGGAGGUGCAGGUGUCCAGAAUGUGCCAUUGUACUCCUCCAUGCACCAGGGACGACCACGUCAACCGAAGGAGGUGGACAGUGUAAGGACUGAGCCGGUCGUCCUUGUGUUCGUAGAGAGCAUCUACUCCCAGCUAGGCCAGGAGAUUGUUGCUACACUAGAAUCAAGUCGUUUCCGGUAUCGUACAGAGAUUGCCCCAGGUAAGGGUGACAUGCCCUCUCUGACAGAACAAAACCGCGGGCGCUAUGUGCUGAUUAUCUAUGAAAAUGUGUUGAAGUAUGUCAACCUUGACAUUUGGAACAGGGACUUGCUGGACAAGUACUGCACCGAGUAUGGCAUAGGUAUCAUUGGCUUCUAUAAAGCAAAUGAAAAUUCUCUUGUUAGUGCACAGCUCAAAGGGUUUCCCCUCUUCCUGCACUCGCGCUUGGGACUAAGGGACUACCGCAUUAAUCCAAAUGCUCCUCUGCUCUACAUCACCAAACCCAACCAGUUGGAGCAGGGCCCUCUGCCGGGAGAUGACUGGACAGUGUUCCAAUCCAACCACUCGACAUAUGAACCUGUACUUCUGGCUUCUUCUAAGUCCUCUGAGGCUCUGGUACAUUCCGGAUUGAGCCCUUUGCAGGGCCUCCAUACCACGGUAGUCCAAGACUUGGGGUUUCUUGAUGGCAUUCAGAGAGUUCUGUUUGGAAAUAAUCUCAACUACUGGCUUCAUAAGCUGGUUUUUGUGGAUGCCAUUGCUUACCUGACAGGAAGGAGACUCUGCCUGUCUCUAGACCGUCACAUCCUGGUGGAUGUGGACGACAUCUUUGUUGGGAAGGAGGGAACACGCAUGAAGAUGUCUGAUGUGGAGGCGCUGUUAAACACUCAGAACAAACUUAGAGCCCUGGUUCCUAAUUUCACUUUCAACUUGGGGUUUUCUGGAAAGUUUUAUCACACAGGCACUGAUGAGGAAGAUCGAGGCGAUGACAUGCUGCUGCAGCACCGCAUGGACUUCUGGUGGUUUCCUCACAUGUGGAGCCACAUGCAGCCCCACCUCUUUCACAAUGUCAGUGUUCUGGCUGAGCAGAUGAGGCUCAACAAACUCUUUGCUCAGGAGCAUGGCAUACCCACAGACAUGGGGUAUGCCGUUUCCCCUCACCACUCUGGGGUUUAUCCCGUCCACAGUCAGCUGUACGAGGCCUGGAAAUCUGUGUGGGGGAUCAGGGUGACCAGCACAGAGGAAUAUCCCCAUCUGAGGCCGGCACGAUACCGCAGAGGUUUCAUCCACAACGGGAUCCAGGUGCUACCCAGGCAGACAUGUGGUCUGUUCACCCACACCAUCUUCUACAAUGAGUACCCUGGAGGCUCCAGGGAGCUGGACAAGAGCAUUAGAGGAGGAGAACUCUUCCUCACUGUUCUUUUGAACCCUAUCAGUGUCUUCAUGACUCACCUUUCCAACUAUGGGAAUGACCGGCUAGGACUUUACACCUUUGAGUCUUUGAUCAAGUUUGUCCAGUGCUGGACCAAUCUCAGACUGCAGACACUACCCCCUGUCCAGCUUGCUGAAAAAUACUUCCAGAUCUUUCCAGAAGAGAGAGAACCACUCUGGCAGAAUCCUUGUCAUGACAAGAGACACAAAGAUAUUUGGUCUAAAGAGAAGACAUGUGACCGCCUUCCCAAGUUCCUUAUUGUUGGUCCACAGAAAACAGGCACAACUGCUCUGCACUCGUUCCUGAACCUCCACCCAGCAAUCACGAGCUCCUUUCUUAGCCCCACCACCUUUGAGGAGAUCCAGUUCUUUAGUGGACCCAACUACAACAAUGGAAUUGACUGGUAUAUGGAGUUCUUUCCAUUCCCCUCUAAUGUCAGCACAGACUUCAUGUUUGAGAAGAGUGCCAACUAUUUUGACUCAGAGGCAGCCCCUAGAAGAGCAGCUGCCCUGCUGCCACGAGCCAAGAUCUUGUCUGUGCUCAUCAACCCAUCAGACCGGGCAUACUCCUGGUAUCAGCACCAGAAAGCCCACCAGGACCCUACUGCGCUUAACAACUCCUUCCAUGCAGUGUUGGCUGCAGGUCCAUCUGCCCCCCGGCCCCUCCAGAACCUGCAGAGACGCUGCCUCGAUCCGGGGGCUUACGCGUCCCACCUCGAGCGUUGGCUGCAGCACUACCAGCCCAGCCAGGUGUAUGUGGUGGAUGGGGCCCUACUGCGCUCAAACCCUGCACUUGUAAUGGACGGGAUCCAGAGAUUUCUUGGUGUCACCCCUAUCCUGAACUACACCCAGGCUCUGAUUUAACAGCCGUGCAGUUAUUAACCUCCACCGGGCUGGGAAGAUGGAAUCUGCAAUAGGAGACACAUAGUGAUGUGACAACUGAGGCAGUAUGGGCUCUGUGGUGGAGGGGUCAGUCUUUCUUUUCUCACGGUACAGUCUUCUCUGCUGGGGUGACGAUUCUUUUCUCACCUAGGCUGAGUUUUAAUAUCUUAUCCGUCAGCGAGGUGGUCGCGGGCAGGUUCCUUGCUGUGAGGGUUGAACUGAACGGGUUUUAUUUUUGUUUGAUUAACCUUUAUGCACCUGCAAAUGGUGCUCACAGAAUCCCUGGGUAAAGCACAAAUACGGGUUUUCUGUCAGCACUAUACAAGUCAUUCCACAGUUACAACUAAGAGAGCAAUAUCUGCUUUGGAAAAAGAAAUCUCUGGGCUAGAAAACACUUGUUUAACUCAUAGUGCUUCACAAGGACAAUUACUUAAGAGCAAACUGGGUGAAUUAAGUUCUUUUCUCCGUGAAAGGGCUAAGGGAGCUUUAGUUCGAGCUCGGUUCACCACCAUCAGAGACAUGGAUGCUCCCACGUCAUUCUUUUUCAACCUGGAGAAAUCUGUUUCUAGGAAGAAACAGAUGGUCUGUCUGCGCCUUCUUGAUGGGACUGUUACUACGAGCCCGGCUGCUAUGAGAACUCUUGCGGUGGAUUUUUAUAGCGGCUUAUUUGGAAAAGAGGACUGCGACAGACUGUGUGGAUCAGCUGCUGGAGGGACUCCCACGACUGAGUGACGCAGACAGGGAUCUUUUGGAUUCUACAAUCUCCAUGGAGGAAUUGACUGCUGCUGUGGGUCAGAUGGCGCUCGGGAGGUCUCCUGGUUUGGAUGGGCUGCCGGCGGAUUUUUACAAACACUUCUGGAAGUGCCUGGGCCCGGAUCUACUAGAGGUGUACGAGUAUUGCUCAAAGACUGGAUUGUUACCUUUCUCAUGCCGUCAUGCUGUUCUCUCUCUUCUUCCUAAGAAAGGGGACUUAACUCUCCUAAAAAACUGGAGACCGCUUGCUUUGCUCUGUACAGACUAUAAGUUGCUUUCUAAGGUCCUGUCCAAUAGACUUAAGAAUGUUUUGGGUGUAAUCAUUCACAGAGAUCAGUCCUAUUGUGUGCCUGACCGAUCUAUUAUGGACAAUCUUUUUCUUGUAUGUGAUUUAUUUGAUGUUUGCAAACACUGUGACACCUCAGUUGGACUAUUAUCCUUGGAUCAGGAGAAGGCUUUCGAUAGGGUUGAUCAUUCUUAUUUAUUUUCUGCUUUGAGAGCUUUUGGUUUUGGAGAGUUUUUUAUUUCUUUGUUGGCUCUUCUGUAUAAGGAGGCCUUUUGUUUAGUCAAGAUUGGUGGCGGACUGAGCAAACCUGUUAUGGUUCAGAGAGGGAUUAGACAGGGAUGUCCCCUUUCUGGACAAGUUUACGCUAUUGCCAUUGAACCUUUUCUCCAUAGGUUACGUACUCGGCUUACAGGAUUGAUGUUACCAGAAAUGUCCCACAAACCGUCUCUUGUGGUGUCUGCAUAUGCAGAUGAUGUAACGGUCUUUGUUCGACAUCAGGCAGAUAUUGAUUCUCUGUGUAAUGUUCUGGAUAUUUUCCAAAGGGCUUCUUCGGCUAAGGUGAACUGGGAUAAGAGCACCGCUCUAUUGUUGGGACGUUGGUCGGGCUCUACGUUGCCUCUUUUGCCUGGGAAUCUUAAUUGGGGAACGGAGGGGAUGAAGUUUUUAGGAGUAUAUUUGGGCAGUGACGUUUUUCAGAAAAAGAAUUGGGAGGGCGUCAUGGAGAGAGUGUGUGCCAGACUGUCUAAAUGGAAAUACCUGCUGCUUCAGCUUUCCUUCAGGGGUAGAGUUCUUGUUGUCAAUAACUUGGUUGCCUCGACACUUUGGCAUAGUAUGAUGGUGUUGCCUCCUCCUGCAAGCCUCAUCACUGCACUUCAAAAGACCGUGGUGGAUUUCUUUUGGUCUGGUCAUCAUUGGCUAAGAGCUGCCGUUCUCUACCUGCCGGUUGAGGAGGGCGGUCAGGGACUGAUUGAUAUUUCGGCCCGUGUAGCCGCCUUUAGACUGCGGACAGCGCAGCGUCUGCUCCACAGUUUUGGACUGCCGUGGUUGGAUACUGCAUGUGUGCUGCUGAGGAAAGCUGGGGGUUAUGGAUUUGACAAACAUUUGUUUCUGCCCCAGCUUCAUACCUUGGACCUGACUGGACUUUCACCUUUCUACUGCUCUGUCCUACGAGCCUGGCGACUGUUGCUCUGCAAGAGGGAAUUGGUUUAAACAACAUGGCUGUUCGAAGAACCUAUUUUUGGAAACGACCUCUUCAAUUCGCAGACUCUUUUUUCAGCUUCCCUGAGGUCGAAGUUGAGAGAUGCGGGCUGUGUGAAGCUUGGACAUCUCCUACAGACUCCUGCUCCUGAGCUUUCUGAUUUAACUGGGAUGUGAUCUCUCAGAACACUGAAUAAUCUUGUGAAGGAGAUUUGUCUCUCCUUGCCUGUGUCCUAUCAAGCUUACGUGAUGGAUCCUACUGCAUCUCGCCAGUGGGUGGAUGGUGUGGAUUUCAUGUUUCCUCCUCUGCAGGUUUCUCCGGCCUGCGAGGGAUGGCAGGAGGACGGGACGAAACUCCUGUCCUGGACUACUCCUCAAAUAGGAAUCUUUGAAACGAUUGGGAAGAAGUCUUUAUAUUUUUUAUGCGUUAAAGUUUUGAACUUGCGCUCCUUAAUGGACGUCAGAGUGUCGAGGUGGGCUGAGUUGUUUGGCACGGGGUCUUCCCCGAGGGGCUGUUGGAGAUCCCUGUACAAAGCUCCUGUUGAGAAACGGGUAGGUGACCUCCAGUGGAGGGUCGUACACGGGAUCAUAGCCACAAACAGAUAUCUGGUGCACCUUAAUCCUGGUGCGGGGGAUGGGUGUCCGUUCUGUUCUGUUGCAGAAACUGUGGAACAUCUUUUUUUGCAGUGUCAACGUCUGACUGGACUUUUUUCUCUUCUUCGUUCUUUUUUUGAGGGGCUAGGAGAACAGUUUUCAUCUGUGUGUUUCAUUUAUGGGCCAAAAUAUUUGGCCAGACAGCGAAGAGUCCAUGUUUUGUUAAACUUUCUUUCCGGUGAAGCCAAGUUGGCGGUAUGGUUGACGAGGAAAAAUCGGAUACGGGGAAUUGGGUCUGACUACGUCCUGUUUCUUUUUAAAAGACUUUUGGUAGCUAGGUUGAACGUCGAGUUUGGUUUUUAUAGGCUCACACAUGCACUUGAUGUUUUUGAAAAUAUUUGGGCUGUACAAAAUGUUUUGUGUUCCGUCAAGGAUAACUCUUUAGUGGUAAAUUUUUGAGUUUGUUUCUUUGUUUUUGUGUUUUCCUUAAUUUGUGAUGUGAAUAUUUUAUUUGUGUAAUGAUGAUUGGUCAUUAAAGGUGUUUUGAAACUCAA